CUCUUGUUGCAUACGCCAAGACCUUGCCAUUCACCAUGAAGAUGUUGAUGAUCGUCGUUGUGGCGGCAGCCGCUGUAGUCGUGAGCGGCCGCCGACCCCCACCCCCACGCAACGAAAUGUUCAAUCCUUUGCAUGAAGCAAUAAAGUCCUGCAAGAAGGUUCUGAUGCCACCCCAUGAAGAAAUGAAUGCCAUGAAAAAAACAAUGAGGGACUGCUUGGAAAUUCAUGAGCUGAGCG
rnacentral:lncRNA from 1 species